rnacentral:rRNA from 1 species
AUUGAACGCUGGCGGAAUGCUUUACACAUGCAAGUCGAACGGUAGAGGGGGCAACCCCUUGAGAGUGGCGAACGGGUGAGUAAUGUAUCGGAACGUGCCCAGUCGUGGGGGAUAACGUAGUGAAAAUUACGCUAAUACCGCAUACGAUCUAUGGAUGAAAGCGGGGGAUCGCAAGACCUCGCGCGAUUGGAGCGGCCGAUAUCAGAUUAGGUAGUUGGUAGGGUAAAGGCCUACCAAGCCAACGAUCUGUAGCUGGUCUGAGAGGACGACCAGCCACACUGGAACCGAGACACGGUCCAGACUCCUACGGGAGGCAGCAGUGGGGAAUUUUGGACAAUGGGCGAAAGCCUGAUCCAGCCAUUCCGCGUGCAGGAUGAAGGCCCCUCGGGUUGUAAACUGCUUUUGUACGGAACGAAAAGGUUUCUAUUAAUACUAGGAGCUCAUGACGGUACCGUAAGAAUAAGCACCGGCUAACUACGUG